rnacentral:lncRNA from 1 species
CAGCAAGCGCUGAGCGGUCGCCACAGCAACAGCUGUUUGUCUGCCCGCCGGGGGAAAUGAUGUUCCCACGGGAUGUGCGUUUUUGGGCUGGUCCCUCUGCUUGGUCACCCCCAGCCUUGCACACACUCCUGCGUCUUCCUCAGGGCACUAGCUGAGCUGAGUGGGCAGCGCUAUUUUAGGGCUUUUUCAGCUAUUUUGGGCAGUGCUGUGAGACACCGUGAGCAAGGGGAAGCGACAGGUUUUGGUUCCUGCUUCCAGAGCAACUGUGGGAUUGGGGAUGGGGGUGGCCGGGGCGGGCAGCGUGGAGGGAAAAGCAGCCAAAGAGAACUCGGGAGCUGUCGUGGCCAGGAGGGCUGGGAAGAUGCCCAUGGGCUGUGCAGCCUGCUGGGGAGCUGCGGGGAUGCUGCGGAGGCUGCCCUGCUGCAGCGGCCGUGGCAUCAGUGGGAUCAAUGGGAUCAAUGGGAUCAGUGGGAUCAGUGGGAUCAAUGGGAUCAGUGGGAUCAGUGGGAUCAAUGGGAUCAGUGGGAUCAGUGGGAUCAGUGGGAUCAAUGGGAUCAGUGGGAUCAGUGGGAUCAAUGGGAUCAAUGGGAUCAGUGGUAUCAAUGGGGUAAGUGGGAUCAGUGGGAUCAAUGGGAUCAGUGGGGCCGAUGGGAUCAAUGGGAUCAGUGGGAUCAAUGGGAUCAGUGGGAUCAGCUGCUGGAGAGCAGCAGCUUGUUGCUCAGCCCGGGGCAUUUUGCACCGUGUUUUCUGAGCUGCUAUUUCAGGCAGGCCAGGAAGUGGGUCGUUUUCCGAGAAACCCCCUGGCUCCACCCGGCUGGCAUGUGGGGACGGUGCCUUCUGCCAGCUGGGAGAGCCGGCAGCGGGGCGGGGGCACAGCCACUGGCAAGGGGCUGCAUAACUUCAGCAUUAGGGACAGAAGGAUCUGCUGGGCUGAUCCUGUGAGGAGUGGGUAAAACAGCCUGGAAGGACCCGCUCUGGAGAUGCACACCCGGGUCUGUUUCUGCCGCUCCGUGUGAACCUGGGCACAGCUCGCAGUCCGAAAGCAGAAGCGCUCGCUGCGCAGCCCGGAGCGGGGCAGGGCGGGCGGCACAGGCGGCUGCACGGGGGGAUGCGCUGGGCUCCCACCCAUCCCGGCAAACAGGUCCCGGAGCCGAGACCCGGCUCAUGCGGCAGCCCAGAAAC